rnacentral:rRNA from 1 species
AGAGAGCGUUUGAAAAAUUCAAAGAAUUUUUCUCCCCGCACCAGCAAGGGAUACAGACAUGCGGAAGAUAUUUUUGUUCUGCCAAUUACUUAGUGGCGGACUGGUGAGUAACGCGUGAGUAAUCUGCCUAUUACAGGGGGAUAACAGAGGGAAACUUCUGCUAAUACCGCAUAAGACCACGGGGAGGCAUCUCCAAGGGGUCAAAGGGUUACUGGUAAUAGAUGAGCUCGCGUAUCAUUAGCUAGUUGGUGAGGGUAAAGGCCUACCAAGGCGACGAUGAUUAGCCGAUCUGAGAGGAUGACCGGCCACACUGGAACUGAGAUACGGUCCAGACUCCUACGGGAGGCAGCAGUUAGGAAUAUUGGGCAAUGGAGGGAACUCUGACCCAGCAACGCCGCGUGAAGGAAGAAGGUUUUCGGACUGUAAACUUCUGAUCUAGGGGAAAAAGGAAGUGAUGGUACCCUAGGAGAAAGCCACGGCUAACUACGUGCCAGCAGCCGCGGUAAUACGUAGGUGGCGAGCGUUGUCCGGAAUGACUGGGCGUAAAGGGAGCGUAGGUUGCGAUUUAAGUUAGGUGUGAAAGCCCGUAGCUCAACUACGGAACUGCAUUUAAAACUGGGUUGCUAGAGUACAGGAGGGGUAAGCGGAAUUCCUAGUGUAGCGGUAAAAUGCAUAGAUAUUAGGAAGAACACCGGAGGCGAAGGCGGCUUACUGGACUGCAACUGACACUGAGGCUCGAAAGCGUGGGGAGCAAACAGGAUUAGAUACCCUGGUAGUCCACGCCCUAAACGAUGGAUACUAAACGUGGGAGGUAUCGACUCCUUCCGUGUUGAAGCAAACGCGAUAAGUAUCCCGCCUGAGUAGUACGGCCGCAAGGUUGAAACUCAAAGGAAUUGACGGGGACCCGCACAAGCAGCGGAGCAUGUUGUUUAAUUCGAAGCUACGCGAAGAACCUUACCAAGACUUGACAUGACCGGGCAUACCCUUGAAAGAGGGGAAGAUAUAGCAAUAUAUACCGGCCACAGAUGGUGCAUGGUUGUCGUCAGCUCGUGUCGUGAGAUGUUGGGUUAAGUCCCGCAACGAGCGCAACCCUUGCCAUUAGUUACCAGCAGUGAGAUGGGGACUCUAAUGGGACAGCCGUAGAUAAUACGGAGGAAGGUGGGGAUGAUGUCAAAUCAUCAUGCCUCUUACGUCUUGGGCUACAAACGUGCUACAAUGGGUAUAACAAAGAGAGGCGAGACCGCAAGGUGGAGCAAACCUCAAAAAGAUACUCUCAAUUCAGACUGGGGGCUGAAACUCGCCCCCACGAAGCCGAAGUUGCUAGUAAUCCCAAAUCAGAAUGUUGGGGUGAAUGCGUUCCCGGGUCUUGUACACACCGCCUGUCAAGCCAUGAGAGUUGGGGGGACCCAAAGUCGGUGAGCUAACCCGCAAGGGAGGCAGCCGCCUAAGGUAAAACCAGCGAUUGGGGUUAAGUCAUAACAAGGUAGCGGUAUCAGAAGGUGCCGCUG